UGUCUAGUCGUAUAAUUAGGUAGUACUUAGGACUGUUAAUCCGAAAGGUGCAGGUUCGAUCCCUGCCUAGACAG
rnacentral:tRNA from 1 species